rnacentral:rRNA from 1 species
AUUGAACGCUGGCGGCAUGCUUUACACAUGCAAGUCGAACGGCAGCGCGGGCUUCGGCCUGGCGGCGAGUGGCGAACGGGUGAGUAAUGCAUCGGAACGUGCCCAGUAGUGGGGGAUAGCCCGGCGAAAGCCGGAUUAAUACCGCAUACGACCUGAGGGUGAAAGCGGGGGACCGAAAGGCCUCGCGCUAUUGGAGCGGCCGAUGUCGGAUUAGCUAGUUGGUGGGGUAAAGGCUUACCAAGGCGACGAUCCGUAGCUGGUCUGAGAGGACGACCAGCCACACUGGGGCUGAGACACGGCCCAGACUCCUACGGGAGGCAGCAGUGGGGAAUUUUGGACAAUGGGGGCAACCCUGAUCCAGCCAUGCCGCGUGCGGGAAGAAGGCCUUCGGGUUGUAAACCGCUUUUGUUCGGGAAGAAAUACUCUGGGCUAAUACCCCGGGGGGAUGACGGUACCGGAAGAAUAAGCACCGGCUAACUACGUG